rnacentral:rRNA from 1 species
CCUACGGGUGGCAGCAGUGGGGAAUAUUGGACAAUGGGGGCAACCCUGAUCCAGCGACGCCGCGUGAGUGAAGAAGUAUUUCGGUACGUAAAGCUCUAUCAGCAGGAAAGAAAAUGACGGUACCUGACUAAGAAGCCCCGUCUAACUACGUGCCAGCAGCCGUGGUACUACGUAGGCGGCGAGCGUUAUCCGGAUUUACUGGGUGUAAAGGGAGCGUAGACGGCAGCGCAAGUGGGGAGUGAAAUGUCGGGGCCCAACCCCGGAACUGCACUGGAAACUGUGAAGCUGGAGUGCAGGAGAGGUAAGCGGAAUUCCUGGUGUAGCGGUGAAAUGCGUAGAUAUCAGGAGGAACACCGACGGCGAAGGCGGCUUACUGGACUGUAACUGACGCUGAGGCUCGAAGGCGUGGGGAGCAAACAGGAUUAGAUACCCGUGUAGUC